AACAGGGCUGAGAUACAUGUCAC
rnacentral:piRNA from 1 species